GCUGGGCGUGGUGAUGGGUGCCUGUAAUCCCAGCUACUCGGGAGGCUGAGACAGGAGAAUCACUUGAACCCAGGAGGCAGAGGUUGCAGUGAGCCGAGAUCGCGCCACUGCACUCCAGCCUGGGUGACAGAGCGAGACUCUGUCUCAA
rnacentral:SRP_RNA from 1 species